AUUGAACGCUGGCGGCAGGCCUAACACAUGCAAGUCGAACGAGUGGCGGACGGGUGAGUAAUGUCUGGUAAACUGGCUGAUGGAGGGGGAUAACUACUGGAAACGGUAGCUAAUACCGCAUACCAUCGGAUGUGCCCAGAUGGGAUUAGCUAGUAGGUGUGGUAAAGGCUCACCUAGGCGACGAUCCCUAGCUGGUGUGAGAGGAUGACCGGCCACACUGGAACUGAGAAACGGUCCAGACUCCUACGGGAGGCAGCAGGGGGGAAUAUUGCAAAAUGGGCGCAAGCCGGAUGCAGCAAUGCCGCGGGGAUGAAGAGGGCCUUCGGGUGGUAAAGUACUUUCAGCGGGGAGGCGUUACCCGCAGAAGAAGCAACGGCUAACUCCGUGCCAGCAGCCGCGGUAAUUC
rnacentral:rRNA from 1 species